rnacentral:tRNA from 2 species
GGUGCCAUAGCUCAGUUGGUAGAGCAUAGGACUGAAAAUCCUUGUGUCCCCGGUUCGAUUCCUGGUGGCACCA